GAAGUAUCAGAGAGUGAUUUUUAUCAUCCACUCAACUGGAUCAUACAGGGAGAGAGGUCAGGAUCACUGGCUGAUACACAUCCAUCUGGACAAGGAGUCAGAGAAGUUGAAGGAAGAUCCAAGAGAUGGUGGAACAACUGCGUUCUAGUUGCUGCCCCACACCAAGGAGGUGAUCCAGCAGAUAAACAAUAUGCAUGGACUAUGGAGACCUUUCCCCAACCUUAUGAGCACAAAACCCAAUAUUCAUGAUAUAGCUGCUCCUCUGCUUCUGCCCUCCAAAUCUCACACAAAAAUGUCUCUUGUGGCACACCCUUAAUUGGAAACAUGUAGGGAAGGGAAUUAUGGGAAAUCUAGUCAGCAUAACUAAAUCAACACAUUACAAAGCCUUCAUAGUCCAUCCUUUGUCAACUUGGACAUAUACACAUCUCUAUAAAUCACAUGAUGUUUCCAGUUUAACUUUAAGUCAUUUCUUGCCUACUUCUAUAUGAGAACCUUAAAGAAUUGGUUCCUGGGCAGGCGCGGUGGCUCACGCCUGUAAUCCUAGCACUCUGGG